rnacentral:rRNA from 1 species
AGAGUUUGAUCCUGGCUCAGAGUGAACGCUGGCGGCAUGCCUAACACAUGCAAGUCGAACGGUAACAGGCCCGCAAGGGUGCUGACGAGUGGCGGACGGGUGAGGAAUACAUCGGAAUUUGCCCAGUCGUGGGGGAUAACGUAGGGAAACUUACGCUAAUACCGCAUACGACCUUACGGUGAAAGCGGGGGAUCGCAAGACCUCGCGCGAGUGGAUGAGCCGAUGUCGGAUUAGCUAGUUGGCGGGGUAAAGGCCCACCAAGGCGACGAUCCGUAGCUGGUCUGAGAGGAUGAUCAGCCACACUGGGACUGAGACACGGCCCAGACUCCUACGGGAGGCAGCAGUGGGGAAUAUUGGACAAUGGGGGCAACCCUGAUCCAGCAAUGCCGCGUGUGUGAAGAAGGCCUUCGGGUUG